UAAGAGGUCCUGCCUGCCCUGUGACUAUAUGUUUAACGGCCGCGGUAUUUUAACCGUGCGAAGGUAGCGCAAUCACUUGUCUUUUAAAUGGAGACCUGUAUGAAUGGCAUCACGAGGGCUUAGCUGUCUCCUUUUUCAAGUCAAUGAAAUUGAUCUCCCCGUGCAGAAGCGGGGAUAAAACCAUAAGACGAGAAGACCCUAUGGAGCUUAAGAUACAAGGCAGCUUAUGUCAAGCACCCCUGAAUAAAGGACUGAACUAGUAGAUCCUGCCCUGAAUAUCUUUGGUUGGGGCGACCCCGCGGAAGUAAAUAACCCACGAGUGGAACGGGACCCUUCCUUUUAUCCCUCUAACUAAGAGCCCCCGCUCUAAUGAACAGAAUUUCUGACCUAUCCAGAUCCGGCAACGCCGAUUAACGAACCAAGUUACCCUAGGGAUAACAGCGCAAUCCCCUUUUAGAGCCCCUAUCGACAAGGGGGUUUACGACCUCGAUGGUGGAUCAGGACAUCCUAAUGGUGCAACCGCUAUUAAGGGUUCGUUUGUUCAACG
rnacentral:rRNA from 1 species